rnacentral:tRNA from 1 species
GGUGCUGUGGUGUAGUCGGUUAUCACGUCAGUCUUACACACUGAAGGUCCCCAGUUCGAACCUGGGCAGCAUCA